rnacentral:rRNA from 1 species
GGUUAAUGAGGCGAACCGGGGGAACUGAAACAUCUAAGUACCCCGAGGAAAAGAAAUCAACCGAGAUUCCCCCAGUAGCGGCGAGCGAACGGGGAGCAGCCCAGAGCCUGAAUCAGUGUGUGUGUUAGUGGAAGCGUCUGGAAAGGCGCGCGAUACAGGGUGACAGCCCCGUACACAAAAAUGCACAUGCUGUGAGCUCGAUGAGUAGGGCGGGACACGUGGUAUCCUGUCUGAAUAUGGGGGGACCAUCCUCCAAGGCUAAAUACUCCUGACUGACCGAUAGUGAACCAGUACCGUGAGGGAAAGGCGAAAAGAACCCCGGCGAGGGGAGUGAAAAAGAACCUGAAACCGUGUACGUACAAGCAGUGGGAGCACAGAGCAAUCUGUGUGACUGCGUACCUUUUGUAUAAUGGGUCAGCGACUUAUAUUCUGUAGCAAGGUUAACCGAAUAGGGGAGCCGAAGGGAAACCGAGUCUUAACUGGGCGUUAAGUUGCAGGGUAUAGACCCGAAACCCGGUGAUCUAGCCAUGGGCAGGUUGAAGGUUGGGUAACACUAACUGGAGGACCGAACCGACUAAUGUUGAAAAAUUAGCGGAUGACUUGUGGCUGGGGGUGAAAGGCCAAUCAAACCGGGAGAUAGCUGGUUCUCCCCGAAAGCUAUUUAGGUAGCGCCUCGUGAAUUCAUCUCCGGGGGUAGAGCACUGUUUCGGCAAGGGGGUCAUCCCGACUUACCAACCCGAUGCAAACUGCGAAUACCGGAGAAUGUUAUCACGGGAGACACACGGCGGGUGCUAACGUCCGUCGUGAAGAGGGAAACAACCCAGACCGCCAGCUAAGGUCCCAAAGUCAUGGUUAAGUGGGAAACGAUGUGGGAAGGCCCAGACAGCCAGGAUGUUGGCUUAGAAGCAGCCAUCAUUUAAAGAAAGCGUAAUAGCUCACUGGUCGAGUCGGCCUGCGCGGAAGAUGUAACGGGGCUAAACCAUGCACCGAAGCUGCGGCAGCGACGCUUAUGCGUUGUUGGGUA